rnacentral:rRNA from 1 species
UUGACGGGACCGCACAAGCGGUGGAUGAUGUGGAUUAAUUCGAUGCAACGCGAAAACCUUACCUACCCUUGACAUGUCUGGAAUCCUUGAGAGAUCAGGGAGUGCCUUCGGGAGCCAGAACACAGGUGCUGCAUGGCUGUCGUCGGCUCGUGUCGUGAGAUGUUGGGUUAAGUCCCGCAACGAGCGCAACCCUUGCCAUUAAUUGCCAUCAUUUAGUUGGGCACUUUAAUGGGACUGCCGGUGACAAACCGGAGGAAGGUGGGGAUGACGUCAAGUCCUCAUGGCCCUUAUGGGUAGGGCUUCACACGUCAUACAAUGGUCGGUACAGAGGGUUGCCAAGCCGCGAGGUGGAGCUAAUCUCUUAAAGCCGAUCGUAGUCCGGAUCGUAGUCUGCAACUCGACUACGUGAAGUCGGAAUCGCUAGUAAUCGCAGAUCAGCAUGCUGCGGUGAAUACGGUUCCCGGGUCUU